rnacentral:tRNA from 1 species
GUUUUAAUAAUUUAAUAAAAAUAUUGGUCUUGUAAACCAAAUUUAAGUAUAUUCUUUUAAAACA